rnacentral:rRNA from 1 species
AGUGAACGCUGGCGGUAGGCCUAACACAUGCAAGUCGAACGGCAGCACAGUAAGAGCUUGCUCUUACGGGUGGCGAGUGGCGGACGGGUGAGGAAUACAUCGGAAUCUACUUUUUCGUGGGGGAUAACGUAGGGAAACUUACGCUAAUACCGCAUACGACCUACGGGUGAAAGCAGGGGAUAUUCGGACCUUGCGCGAUUGAAUGAGCCGAUGUCGGAUUAGCUAGUUGGCGGGGUAAAGGCCCACCAAGGCGACGAUCCGUAGCUGGUCUGAGAGGAUGAUCAGCCACACUAGAACUGGAACACGGUCCAGACUCCUACGGGAGGCAGCAGUGGGGAAUAUUAGACAAUGGGCGCAAGCCUGGUCCAGCCAUACCGCGUGGGUGAAGAAGGCCUUCGGGUUGUAAAGCCCUUUUGUUGGGAAAGAAAAGCAUCAGGUUAAUACCCCGCUGUUCUGACGGUACCCAAAGAAUAAGCACCGGCUAACUUCGUG